rnacentral:rRNA from 1 species
UACAGAGGGCGCAAGCGUUAAUCGGAUUUACUGGGCGUAAAGCGUGCGUAGGCGGUUCAUUAAGUCGGUUGUGAAAUCCCUGGGCUUAACCUGGGAACUGCAGUCGAUACUGGUGAACUAGAAUGCGGUAGAGGGUGGCGGAACUCCGGGUGUAGCGGUGAAAUGCGUAGAUAUCCGGAAGAACACCGAUGGCGAAGGCAACCACCUGGGCCUGCAUUGACGCUGAGGUACGAAAGCGUGGGGAGCAAACAGG